rnacentral:rRNA from 1 species
CUCAAAUUUGAAAUCUGGCUCUUUCAGAGUCCGAGUUGUAAUUUGCAGAGGGCGCUUUGGCUUUGGCAGCGGUCCAAGUUCCUUGGAACAGGACGUCACAGAGGGUGAGAAUCCCGUACGUGGUCGCUAGCUAUUGCCGUGUAAAGCCCCUUCGACGAGUCGAGUUGUUUGGGAAUGCAGCUCUAAAUGGGAGGUAAAUUUCUUCUAAAGCUAAAUAUUGGCCAGAGACCGAUAGCGCACAAGUAGAGUGAUCGAAAGAUGAAAAGCACUUUGGAAAGAGAGUCAAACAGCACGUGAAAUUGUUGAAAGGGAAGCGCUUGCAGCCAGACUUGCUUGCAGUUGCUCAUCCGGGCUUUUGCCCGGUGCACUCUUCUGUAGGCAGGCCAGCAUCAGUUUGGGCGGUGGGAUAAAGGUCUCUGUCACGUACCUCUCUUCGGGGAGGCCUUAUAGGGGAGACGACAUACCACCAGCCUAGACUGAGGUCCGCGCAUCUGCUAGGAUGCUGGCGUAAUGGCUGUAAGCGGCCCGUCUUGAAACACGGACCAAGGAGUCUAACAUCUAUGCGAGUGUUUGGGUGUCAAGCCCGAGCGCGUAAUGAAAGUGAACGGAGGUGGGAACCCGCAAGGGUGCACCAUCGACCGAUCCUGAAGUUUACGGAAGGAUUUGAGUAAGAGCAUGGCUGUUGGGACCCGAAAGAUGGUGAACUAUGCUUGAAUAGGGUGAAGCCAGAGGAAACUCUGGUGGAGGCUCGCAGCGGUUCUGACGUGCAAAUCGAUCGUCAAAUUUGGGCAUAGGGGCGAAAGACUAAUCGAACUAUCUAGUAGCUGGUUCCUGCCGAAGUUUCCCUCAGGA